AGAGUGGGUUAUUACAUGCUAUAUUUCACUAUUUGUUAGACAUUCUGGAUCGACACAUGGUUUUUAAAAAUAUUAUGAAUCAACAUUAACAGAAACUACUUUGAGAAUGGUAAAUUUUGAUAGAAUGAUAAAGAGUAGAAAUUUUGUUUUAGCAUCUCCCGAUUUGUAUGUAAAUGACUUAAAAAACAAAAUUGUAUCUGUACUUUUAUGAAAUAAAUAUGCAAAACAUUUUUUUCAGGUACCAGUAUUAGCAGCAAGACUUAAAUAGAUAAAAAUCGUAAGGAAAGUCUCAUCCCCCCCCCCCUUAACAUACCAUGUAUACACAUGCAUUUAAAGUAUGGGAAGAAAAUCUAUUGAGAGAAAUAUCCUUUUAAUACAGGAAUUACUUUAAAAAAUGUCCAUUUUAAAGUGGUUGUCUUACUACAACUGCAUUGCUUUAGAUAAGUUUUUAUUAUUAAAAAACUCAAAAUUUUUGUUAGCAACACUUGCGUAUAUUUGUUUACCUUGACAACACAGUACCAUGUGGCUUUUAUUGUGGCCUUAGUAAAAUGAAAUACUCAGCAAUAGCAAACUUUAUAUCACUGUAACAUUUUAAUCUGUAUGCUUAUCUAAUUGUGAAUAAAUUGCUCUUGUAUUAAUCUAGUACAGGAGCUACAUCUGAGGUUCAGGUUAAUUUGAUAAUCCAACAAUCGGUGCUUUAAUUACUUUUGUACAAGCUUUGUUUCUUUGUUUAAUUUUUUUUUUUUUGGAUAAUGCAAUUUUAUUGUCUUUUUCAGUAGAAGUACUGUACUGUUGCACUGUAACAUGUAAUAAUUUACAUGCACAUCCUAUUUUUAUAGUUUUGUCCUCAGAGGUGCUUUUUUUUAUUGUGAUUUUAGUGAUGUAUUCCAUGAUAUUUUCAAGGAGAGAAUAGAGCCAUUAAAUUAAGACCUUUUCCUACUAACAGUAAUAAACAACCCAAAAAGAAAAUGAAAUAAUGUUGCUAUGGUCAUACAUGAAUAAUAAUUGCACAUACUCGUGUCAAUGGGUAUAGUAGCUAAACUUCAGAUUUAACAAACUCAAUCUGAAAUGAAACUGAAUGAUUUACCAACACUGAUGGUUUGGAACAAAAGAUUUAUCAGUUGGAAGUGGAUUUGUAAAUGCAAGUUUACCAAUUUACUGAUAAUCUUAAAUUUUAGUUUAGUUUGUUUUCAUUACUAGACAAAUAUAAUUAAGAACUCCCUCUCUUUAAGUAUAAAAGUCAUUAAAAUAGAAACACUUCUAAACAUUUUUUUCCUUUUUUUUUUUUUAUCAAAGACUCCAAACACCUUGCUUAAACAUGCAGAUCAUCUGUGUACAAAGAAUAAAUUUACAAUUGAUAUUGUUUCUGCUGAAUCAUGAACCUCAAAAUAUUAAUGAAAUGUAUACAUUUUUCUGCUACAUUUUAUUAUGUAUUUUUUAUAUUUACAUAAAUAAAAACUUCAACAUGC
rnacentral:sRNA from 1 species